rnacentral:lncRNA from 1 species
GUCAACUCAUUUUUAUUUUAUUUAACCCGGCAAGUCAGUUAAGAAAAAAUUCUUAUUUUCAAUGACGGCCUAGGAACGGAGGGUUAACUGCCUGUUCAGGGGAAGAACGACAGAUUUGUACCUUGUCAGCUCGGGGAUUAGAACUUGCAACCUUUCGGUUACUAGUCCAACGCUCAAACCACUAGGCUACGCUGCCGCCCCUAAGGUGAUAGUCAGUCGGUAAACUAAGACCAAUAUCACAGUCAGUACAACUAAGACCACAUAUCACAGUCAGUACAACUAAGACCACAUAUCACGUGGUCAGUACAACUAAGACCACAUAUCACGUCAGUACAACUAAGACACCUAUCACAGUCAGUCAGUACAACUAAGACCACCUAUCACAGUCAGUCAGUACAACUAAGACCACAUAUCACAGUCAGUCAGUACAACUAAGACCACCUAUCACAGUCAGUACACUAAGCCACAUAUCACAGUCGUACAACUAAGACCACAUAUAACAGUUACAGUCAGUACAACUAAGACCACAUAUACAGUUAGUACAACUAGGGCCACAUAUACUUACAGUCAGUACACACUAAGACAACAUUGACCAGUUAUAGUCAGUACUCUAAGACCACAUAAUACAAGUCAGUCAGUACAACUAAGACCACAUAUCACAGUUAUAGUCAGUACAACUAAGACGAC